GACGAGGGAUCCUAGCGUUGUUCGGAAUUACUGGGCGUAAAGGGCACGUAGGCGGGCUGUUAAGUCGGGGGUGAAAUCCUGAGGCUCAACCUCAGAAUUGCCUCCGAUACUGGCGGCCUCGAGUGCGGGAGAGGUGAGUGGAAUUCCCAGUGUAGAGGUGAAAUUCGUAGAUAUUGGGAAGAACACCAGUGGCGAAGGCGGCUCACUGGCCCGCAACUGACGCUGAGGUGCGAAAGCGUGGGGAGCAAACAGG
rnacentral:misc_RNA from 1 species